GAAACGGCCGCGCCGCGGAGCGAGCAACGCGAGGCGUCUCGCGUAUGGGGUGAAUGGGGACGGAGCCCCACGGGACCCCGCGGUGAGCUCCUGGGGUGGCUAUGGGGCGGCUAUGGGGACAUUGCACGGUGGCUUUGGGGUGGUCGUGGUGUGGGAUGGGGGCUCAGGGUGCUGCUUGUGGGGUGAAUGGGGAUGGAGCCCUGUACGACCCCAUGGUGAGCUCAUGGGGUGGCUGUGGGGCAGCCAUGGGGUGGCUAUGGGGCGGCUAUGGGGACGUUGCACGGUGGCUUUGGGGUGGUCAUGGUGUGGGAUGGGGCUCAGGAUGCUGCUUGUGGGGUGAAUGGGGAUGGAGCCUUAUAGGACCCCCUGGUGAGCUUGUGGGGCAGUCAUGGGGCGGCCAUGGGGUGGCCAUAGGGUGGCUAUGGGGUGGCCAUGGGGUGGCCAUGGGGCAGCUAUGGGUUGGCUAUGGGGUGGCUAUGGGGUGGCCAUGGGGCGACGAUGGGGUGGCUAUGGGGUGGCCAUGGGGUGGCCAUGGGGUGGCCAUGGGGUGGCUAUGGGGUGGCCAUGGGGCGGCCAUCGGGCGGCUAUGGGGUGGCCAUGGGGUGGCCAUGGGGUGGCUAUGGGGCGGCUAUGGGGACAUUGCACGGUGGCUUUGCGGUGGUCGUGGUGUAGGAUGGUGGCUCAGUGUGAUGUUUGUAGGGUGUAUAGGGAUGGAGCCCUAUAGGACCCUGUGGUGAGCUCCUGGGGCAGCUAUGGGGCGGCUAUGGGGCGGCUAUGGGGACGUUGCAUGGUGGCUUUGGGGUGGUCGUGGUGUAGGAUGGUGGCUCAGUGUGAUGUUUGUAGGGUGUAUAGGGAUGGAGCCUUAUAGGACCCCAUGGUGAGCUUGUGGGGCAGCCAUGGGGCGGCCAUGGGGUGGCCAUGGGGCAGCUAUGGGGUGGCCAUGGGGUGGCUAUGGGACGGACAUGGGGCGGCCAUGGGGCAGCCAUGGGGCGGCUAUGGGUUGGCUAUGGGAUGGCCAUGGGGUGGCUAUGGGAUGAACAUGGGUUGGCUAUGGGAUGGCCAUGGGGCGGCUAUGGGGUGGCCAUGGGGUGGCCAUGGGGCAUCUAUGGGGCAUCUAUGGGGCAGCUAUGGGGCAGCCACGGGGCUGCAGCGCGGUGGCCUCAUGGCGGUGCCAUGGGCAGCAGCGUGGGAUGGGGACUUUGCUGCUGGCGGUGCUGGGAUCUCACGGGGACGAUGGGGANUGUUGCAAUGCUCCCGGUGCUGCUGCAAGGUUUGCACUCUGUGGGUAUUGCAAUGCUCCCAGUGUGGGUAUUGCAAUGCUCCUUGCACUGCUGCAGGGUUUGCAUCCUGUGGGUAUUGCAAUGCUCCUGGUGCUGCUGCAGGGUUUGCACCCCGUGGGUGUUGCAGUGCUCCCAGUGUGGGUAUUGCAAUGUUCCUUGCACUGCAACAAGAUUUGCACCCUGCGGGUAUUGCAAUGCUCCUUGCACUGCUGCAGGGUUUGCACCCUGUGGGUGUUGCAAUGCUCCCAGUGUGGGUAUUGCAAUGCUCCUUGCACUGCUGCAAGCUUUGCACCCUGCGGGUAUUGCAAUGCUCCCAGUGUGCAUAUUGCAAUGCUCCUUGCACUGCUACAAGGUUUGCACCCUGCGGGCAUUGCAACGCUCCCAGUGUGGGUAUUGCAGUGCUCCUUGCACUGCUGCAGGGUUUGCACCCUGUGGGUAUUGCAAUGCUCCCAGUGUGGGUAUUGCAAUGUUCCUUGCACUGCAGCAGGGUUUGCACCCUGCAGGUAUUGCAGUGCUCCUUGCACUGCUGCAAGGUUUGCACCCUGCGGGUAUUGCAGUGCUCCUUGCACUGCUGCAAGGUUUGCACCCUGUGGGCACUGCAAUGCUCCCGGUGCUGCUGCAAGGUUUGCAUGCUGUGGGCACUGCAAUGCUCCUUGCACUGCUGCAAGGUUUGCACCCUGCGGGUAUUGCAAUGCUCCUUGCACUCCUGCAGGGUUUGCACCCUGCGGGUAUUGCAAUGCUCCCAGUGUGGGUAUUGCAAUGCUCCUUGCACUGCUGCAAGGUUUGCACCCUGUGGGCAUUGCAGUGCUCCUUGCACUGCUGCAGGGUUUGCAUCUCAUGGGCACUGCAAUGCUCCUGGUGCUGCUGCAGGGUUUGCACCCUGCGGGCAUUGCAAUGCUCCUGGUGCUGCUGCAGGGUUUGCACACCGCAGGUAUUGCAAUGCUCCUUGCAUUGCUGCAGGGUUUGCACCCUGUGGGUAUUGCAAUGCUCCUUGCA
ensembl:lncRNA